rnacentral:hammerhead_ribozyme from 1 species
AUCUAACUGACGAGUUUCAAUAAGGACGAAAUGCGCAUCCUAGAU